UAGUAAGAAGUAAAAAAAUUACAUUUAAUUUCGACCUAAAAAUAUGGCUUUAGCCCUUACUUU
rnacentral:tRNA from 1 species